rnacentral:tRNA from 1 species
CGAGAGAGGCUCGCCAGCAACGAGGACUGCUAAUCUCCGUAACCUUGGUUGGACCCCAAGGCUCACUCGU